UUUCCGUAGGUGAACCUGCGGAAGGAUCAUUAUGGUAUAACAGAGGUGCGAGGCCUGUCGCUAACCCUAAAGGUCGUGCACGCCCGAGUGCCCUCACACACUUCCAUCUCCCCCCUAUGUGGACCACCGCGUGGGCCCCCCUCUGGCUUGUUCGGCGGGGGGCUUACGUUUUCACACAAUCUGUGUCUGUAUUGUAGCAUGUAUUUUUUUGUUUUUGCGAUCACGCAAUCAAUACAACUUUCAACAACGGAUCUCUUGGCUCUC
rnacentral:misc_RNA from 1 species